rnacentral:rRNA from 1 species
UACAGAGGGGGCGAGCGUUGUUCGGAAUUACUGGGCGUAAAGGGCGCGUAGGCGGCCCUCUAAGUCGAACGUGAAAUCCCCAGGCUCAACCUGGGAACUGCGUCCGAUACUGGCAGGCUUGAAUCCGGGAGAGGGAUGUGGAAUUCCAGGUGUAGCGGUGAAAUGCGUAGAUAUCUGGAGGAACACCGGUGGCGAAGGCGGCAUCCUGGACCGGUAUUGACGCUGAGGAGCGAAAGCUAGGGGAGCAAACGGG